UACGGAGGGUGCGAGCGUUGUCCGGAAUCAUUGGGCGUAAAGGGCGCGUAGGUGGCCCGGUCAGUCUUUGGUGAAAGCGCGGGGCUCAACCCUGCGUCGGCCAGGGAUACUGCCGCGGCUCGAGCACUGUAGAGGCAGGCGGAAUUCCGGGUGUAGCGGUGGAAUGCGUAGAGAUCAGGAGGAACACCGGUGGCGAAGGCGGGUCUCUGGGCAGUAACUGACGCUGAGGAGCGAAAGCGUGGGGAGCGAACAGG
rnacentral:rRNA from 1 species